UGAGCUAUGGUGUAGGUCACAGACUCGGCUCAGAUCCGACGUUGCUGUGACUGUGGUGUAGGCCAGCAGCUGUAGCUCCAAUUCGACCCCUAGCCCAGGAACUUCCACAUGCCACAGGUGUGGCCCUAAAAAGACAAAAAAAAAAAAAAAAAAAAAAGUAUUUUAGAGACAGAGAAACUCACUGGGGCUCAUUGUAUCAGAACAUUUUCUUAUGAUGUUUAAAUGAAUUUUAAUCUCAUUGGGAGAUGCUAAAAAAAAAGAAUAAACUUCAAAUGACACACUUGAAGGGAACAAAGCUGUUUUUCCUACUAGCAAAAGGUAAAGUAAUAUGCCAUUAACAGAAGACAAAUCGUACCUUUGUGUAAUUGUGCUCCUGUCAAUAGAGGCAGAUAUUAAAUAUAUAUCUAAAGGUGUUUAAUUCUAAUAUCUUUAUAAAACUUAUAAAGUAACUUACAAAUUAAAAAAAAAAUCUUUUGUCAGACCACAUGUCACCCUAUUUAUAAAAGAUUAGAACAGUUAUGCAAAUCAAAUUCUAGAAAUAGCUCUGGGUAUCCCAUAAUUCCUCAAGAUAGAUAUGCAAAUUAAACUGAUCAUGACUGUGGGUUAAAAGAACCACACACUGUACAGUUAUACUCUUUAGAUAUUACUCUGUGGAAUGAAUAUCUGUUACUGGGCUUGUUCCCUGUUUGUUCUCCCUUUUUUUUCCUUCUAUUUAGCACAUUGCAAUGCAAGUUGGUCAAGACUAGAGAACUAUAUGGGGAAAAUACAUAGGGGGAAUAAAAGCAAAAAAAAAAAAUGUUAAAUGAAAAAGACGGAAAAUUUUCAUCUCCUCAUGUAUUUUAGAUUUUAUGAUCUCUGGAGAAUACUGUAAUAAGGCAUGUAUUGUCAGCAUUGAAACUGUAAUAAUUUUUCAAAGCCUUUCAAAAUUGUAGCACCUCUGUAUAUCUUUAAGAAAAUGAAACCAUUUUUUGCACCCUCUAGGUUCCAACAAAGUUCUAACCAAAACACAGCAUGCACUUCGCAGAUAUCACAUCCUGGCAGAAAAUAAGAUUUCCAUCCUAGAAAACUACGCAGUCUGGCAUAAUUCAGAAUCAAUACUGCACAAAAGUUCUCAACGCCUUCAAAGAACCAGAGCAGUCCCCACGACCCCAAGGCCGGCAAUUCAGAGGGAACUUGAGACAACUUUCCCUCCUUCUCCUGCUUCCAACAGAAGACCCUCAAGAAAUGAGACUUGUGAAGCCCCCCUGGUUUCCUCUACUUCACUGCAAAAAGGUAAUGCCACUUGAGGUUGUCAAAAAUAGCUUCUGUAGAAAACUGGCCAUGGCCUUUAGGAAAGGUUGCAUGAAGAAAUUUAGUUUAGCCUUUAUUUAAUUAAAAAAAAAAAAAAAAAAGGAGUAACAUAUGGAAUAAAAGACAUCAGUACCAGUACA
rnacentral:lncRNA from 1 species